rnacentral:rRNA from 1 species
GAUGAACGCUAGCUACAGGCUUAACACAUGCAAGUCGAGGGGAAACGACAUCGAAAGCUUGCUUUUGAUGGGCGUCGACCGGCGCACGGGUGAGUAACGCGUAUCCAACCUGCCCACCACUUGGGGAUAACCUUGCGAAAGUAAGACUAAUACCCAAUGAUAUCCCACGAAGACAUCUGAAUGGGAUUAAAGAUUUAUCGGUGAUGGAUGGGGAUGCGUCUGAUUAGCUUGUUGGCGGGGUAACGGCCCACCAAGGCAACGAUCAGUAGGGGUUCUGAGAGGAAGGUCCCCCACAUUGGAACUGAGACACGGUCCAAACUACUACGGGAGGCAGCAGUGAGGAAUAUUGGUCAAUGGGCGAGAGCCUGAACCAGCCAAGUAGCGUGCAGGAAGACGGCCCUAUGGGUUGUAAACUGCUUUUAUAAGGGAAUAAAGUGGGUCACGUGUGACUUUUUGCAUGUACCUUAUGAAUAAGGACCGGCUAAUUCCGUG